UCAUCCCUCUGAGACCUUAGCUGGUAUUAGUUUCUUCCUACAACUUUGCCAUAGUUUGGGGAAGAAGCUUUGACUUGCCAGAGGAUCAUCUAAACAGCAGAUUCCAAGGGCACCCCAAGAAUCCUGCCUGCUCCAGGUGGGCAGACCACUUAGCAUAUUGUAGAAAGAGCACACGUCAUUUCUUAGGUGGUCUCUAGUAGGUUAGCAGUGAUGAAAUUUAAAGCCUCAUUUAGCUUUUUUUUAAAAGAUGUAUUAUGGAAACAUUACCUGUGCAUUAUAAAAAGUUAGAAAUGGGUUAAGGAUCCACCAUUGCUGUGAGCUGUGGUGUAGGUUCUGGACUCAGCUCGGAUCUGGCGUUGCUGUGGCUGUGGCGUAGGUCAGCAGCUGUAGCUCCACUUCGACACCUAGCCUGGGAACCUCCAUAUGCCGUGGGUGCAGCCCUAAAAAGACCAAAAACAAACAAAAAACUACCAAAAAACUCCUUUCUCUUCUACAGAAAAAAAAAAAUCUUUCUUAUUUAACCUAUAAAUGUCGGAGUACAGUUUUAAAAUUACAACAUUUACAUUAUUUAUAUCAUUACAAAUGCUGCAACUGCGAAGGGAAGUUUAACUUUGUACUUUUUGUGCUGUCCUUAGAGUGCGUCCAACUUAGGAUUCUACAGCUGACCCUUGAACAGUGCAGCGGUUCGUGGCCCCAACCCCCGCCUCCACAGCCAAAAAUUCAAGGAUAACUUUUGACUCCCCCAAAGCUUUACUAAUAGCCUGCUGUGGAGUGGAAGCUUUACCUGUCAAAGAGUCAGUUAACAUAUAUUUUGUGUGUUCUUUAUAUAUCUACAUAUAUUCAUGACAUACCUAACUUUUUCUUAAUUUCGGGGGGGCGGGUAUUUCUAUGAUUACACAGUUCAUCUGUGAGUUUUUUCAAAUUGUUACAACUCUCCCCAAAUUUUUCCAAUAUAUUGACUGAAAAAAAAAAUCAGCCUAUAAGUAGACCCACACAGUUUCAACCUGUGUUAUUCAAGGGUCACCUGAGCAAUUAAAAACUGCCUUCACAAAUCUCUAAAAAUCAGUUCUUCCUCAGAGUGACUGUGUCCCCAGCAUGGCACAUGGUUAGUUCACAUCUUUCAACUUUUCAGUUUAAGAACUUUUCAAAUUUAGCUUUUUUGAGAGAGGUAAUUUAUUUACAUUAGUGAAAGGUUAAAAGUGUACAAAUGUUAAAUCUAGGUGGCAGGUAUAUGGGGUGUGUGUGUGUGUGUGUGUGUGUGUGUGUGUGUGUGUGCUUUUUAGGACCACACCUGUGGCAUCUGGAAGUUCCCAGGCAAAGGGUCCAGUUGGAGCUACGGCUGCCAGCCUAUCCCACAGCCACAGCAACUCGGGAUCUGAGCCUCAUCUGUGACCUACACCACAGCUCAUGGCAACGCCAGAUCCUUAACCUACUGAGCAAGGACAGGGAUUGAACCCGCAUCCUCAUGGAUACUAGUAGGGUUUUUAACCUGCUCAGCCACAACAGGAACUCCCUAUAUGGGAAUUUGUAAGUCAUUCUCUCUACGUUUCUCUUUGAAAGUUAAAAUAAUUAAAUUUAAGCCAUAUAGAAAGAUAUACACAAUUGUCUUUACCUUGUUCCCUCAUGGAUACCCCUUUUAUUAGCAUAAAGCUUGACCCUUUGAGUCUUUGUUUUGCAGAUUCAAACUGUGUGUGUGUGUGUGUGUGUAUGUGUGUGUGCGCGCGCACGUGCGCGUGAGUUUGCAGCAGACUUUUGAUCACUGUCCAGGGAUUUCGAGACUGACAAUACUGGAUUUUUAUACUGCCCCAGUUUUGUUCAAAAGAUGUGAAUUUUGGAGUUCCCAUUGUGGCUUAGCGUUAAUGAACCCGACUGGUAUCCGUGAGGAUGAUGGUUCAAUUCCUUGGCCUUGCUCAGUGGAUUAGGAUCCGGCAUUGCUAUGGCUGUGAUGUAUGCCGGCAGCUGUAGCUCUCAUUCCACCUCUAGGCUGGGAACUUUCAUAUGGCCCUAAAAAGAAAAGAAAAGAAAAAGAUGUGACUUUUACGAAUACUGCCUUUGGAGUUCCCGUCGUGGCUCAGAGGAAACGACUCUGACUAAUAUCCACAAGAACGCAGGUCUAUCCCUGGCCUCGCUUAGUAGGUUAAGGAUCUGGGGUUGCCUAAGGAUCUGGGGUUGCCGUGAGCUGUGGUAUAGGUCGCAGACCUGGCUUGGAUCCUGCAUUGCUGUGGCUGUGGUGUAGGCCAGGGUUACAGCUCCGACUGGACCCUUAGCCUGGGAACCUCCAUAUGCCGUGGGUGUGGCCCUAAAAAAGACAAAAAAAAAAAAA
rnacentral:lncRNA from 1 species